rnacentral:rRNA from 1 species
AGCCUUGGUGACUGAGCGGCGGACGGGUGAGUAACGCGUGGGUAACCUGCCUCAUACAGGGGGAUAACAGUUGGAAACGGCUGCUAAUACCGCAUAAGCGCACAGUACCGCAUGGUACGGUGUGAAAAACUCCGGUGGUAUGAGAUGGACCCGCGUCUGAUUAGGUAGUUGGUGGGGUAACGGCCUACCAAGCCGACGAUCAGUAGCCGACCUGAGAGGGUGACCGGCCACAUUGGGACUGAGACACGGCCCAAACUCCUACGGGAGGCAGCAGUGGGGAAUAUUGCACAAUGGGGGAAACCCUGAUGCAGCGACGCCGCGUGAGCGAUGAAGUAUUUCGGUAUGUAAAGCUCUAUCAGCAGGGAAGAAAAUGGCGGUACCUGACUAAGAAGCCCCGGCUAACUACGUGCCAGCAGCCGCGGUAAUACGUAGGGGGCAAGCGUUAUCCGGAUUUACUGGGUGUAAAGGGAGCGUAGACGGCAUGGCAAGCCAGAUGUGAAAGCCCGGGGCUCAACCCCGGGACUGCAUUUGGAACUGUCAGGCUAGAGUGUCGGAGAGGAAAGCGGAAUUCCUAGUGUAGCGGUGAAAUGCGUAGAUAUUAGGAGGAACACCAGUGGCGAAGGCGGCUUUCUGGACGA